ACUGAAGCUCUGAGAUGUGGGGAGGAGCGCGGAAGCUGGGCGAGGGGAGGGGAGCUGCAGCGCGCGCCCAGAGAUCCGCACGCUCCGCCUCCCAGCCCGCAAGAUGGCGGCCGCCGAGCCACCCACUUCCCUCCCCCACCCCCGGGGUCACGUGACGCCGAGGGCCAAGGCGCACGAGGGGCGGGGCGAAAGAGUGGGAUUAGCGGGAGCUGGACUAGAUCUCCCGAGGAUCCCCGAUGCGUCAGGACUCCUAGGUGCUAUCCUUUGGGAGUUUAUUCGUGCUUUCCCUGCUCCCCAACCCUGUUAAUGUAUCUGGAGACAAUAAGUUACUAUAAAUGGUGGUGCUGAGGAUCGAAACUAGUGCCCCGCGCAUGCCAUGCGAGCGCGUUACCGCUUGAGCCACAUCCACAACCCAGAGUGUAUUUUCGAGAAGUACUGACCACACAGGGUGGUCUGGCAGAGGUCACUUACCACCGGCAGUCCAUGUCAUGACUGACAGGAGGAAGGCUGGCGAGUUUCUGUGAGGUUCAGACCACACCUGCUCACACCACUCUCAGUCUUAACCAGAAUUUUUCUAGAUGCCAGUUCCAGGACUCUGUAUCCCAAAUACAAAAGUCGAAAAAAAUAAACCAGCAGUACAAUGAUCAAAA